AUUUUCCCUUUUCCAGAAUGUCACGUAAUUACAUAGAUAUUUUACUAUCUAUGUUAUUUUCCCUUUUCCAAAAUGUCACAUAAUGCCCACAGCAAUGAAUGCGAGUUCCUGUUGCUCCACAUCCUGACCAGCAUUUGGUGUUUUUGGUCUUGUGGAUUUUGGCCAUUCUAAUAGGUGUGUAGUGGUAUCUGACUCUUGUCUUAAUUGGCAAUUCCUAAUAACAUAUUAUACAGAGCAUCUUUUCAUAUACUUAAUUUCCAUCUGCAUAUCUGUUCAGCUUUUGCCCAUUUUUAAUUGGGUCAUUUGUUUUCUUAUUGUUGAGUUUUAAGAGUUCUUUGAAUAUUUCAUAUAUGAAUCCUUAGAUGUAUUUUGCAAAUAUAUUCUCACUGUCUGUGGUUUGUCUUUUUAUUCUCUUAACAGUAUCUUUCACAAAACAAAAGUUUUUUUAUGUUAAAGUUCAACUUCCCAAUUUUUUUCUUCGUGGAUCAUGCUUUGAUGUUGUAUCUAAAAAAAAUCACCAAAUCCGAGGUUAUCUAGAGUUUUUCCUUAUGUUAUCUUCUAGGAGUUUGAAAAUUUUGCGUUUCAUAUAUUGAUCUAAUAUCUACUUUGCAUUAACUUUUGUAAAAGGUGUAAGGUCCGUUUAUAGAUUCAUUUUUUUUUCUGCGUGGAUGUCCAGUUGUUCCAGCACCAUUUGUCCAUUGAAUUGCCUUUGCUCCUUUGUCAGAGAUCAGUUGGCUGUAUUUCAGUCUGUUUCUGGGCUCUCUGUUCUGUUUCACUGAUGUAUGUGUAUGUGUCUUCUGUUUUGCCUUCAAUUAAAAAAUAUCUAAUUGCUACCUCAAUUUGCUUAUAAAUUCUCAUUUGUAAACAGAAAAGCAUAAAUUAAUGCCUGGGUAUCUUUUAGGGUAGAUGUUGCAUUGAAUACAAUGAGCAGAAUGAGUUAUAAUCUUAAAAAAUAUAAAAAUUUGACCAUAGUGGUAACAGAUUUACACACUAGUGACAUCAAUGACAGAGUCCAUUGCAAUAUUGCUUCCUCCCAUAGCCUCAGCUCUGCUUCACACCAGGUAACUACCAAUCCCUUCUGUGCUUCAUUCAAGGAUUUCUGUGGGGUGGAAAGCAGAAAUAUCAUGAUAUCAGUGGAGAGAAGAAGGCAGUUUCCCAGGCUGGAAGCAGUCAGAUCACCAGUGGGUCCCAACACUGCUCUGUAGCAAUGCCUACAGGGUGAUAGAAACAGAGACAGGGUGCAAAUGAGGUGGGUGCAGGCCCUGGGGUUCCAGUGUUUCCUGGUUCCCAUGGUCUAUAAGAUGCUAAGAAAUGAAACCUUCUGGGCUUUUGGGGGCUCCUGUGGAAUUGGAAAACGAGAAAGUGAGCAGUGACAAUCUAGACUGAUUAUUAGAGGUACUUCUCCCACUUUUCAGAAACCAAGGAGCCUUUGAUUAGUAGUGAAAUUGUGGCACCCCAACUACAGUGGAGUGGAAUGUCCUGCUAUUCUGGAGGGGUGAUGGCUCAGGGUCAAGACUGGACUAAUUAGAAAAAAAAAUGCACUCCAGGAAUAUCAAGUCCGAAACAAAGCUCAUUUCUCAUGUGCGCUCCAGGAGUAUCAAGUCCAAAACAAAGCUCUUCAAACCACCUAGGAAGAGAAAACAGCAUGACAAGGAAAGGACCCUGAUGUCUGAGGAAGAAGGUUCACAUCCAACUCUGCCCCUGGUGUGUCACGUGCCGGCCUUGUCAACGCACACGAGAACCUGACAGGGAGCAGAACCUGCAGGCUUGUUACACAGGUAUACACAUGCCAUGGUGGUUUGCUGCACCCAUCAACCUGUCAUCUACAUUAGGUAUUUCUCCUAACCCUAACCCUCCCCUAGACCCUCACCCUGCAACAGGCCCUGGUGUGUGAUGUUCCCCUCCCUGUGUCCAUGUGUUCUCAUUGUUCAGCUCCCACUUAUGAGUGAGAACAUGGAAGUGAGGUUUUCUGUUCCUGUGUUA
rnacentral:lncRNA from 10 species